ensembl:lncRNA
AUGGGCCCCCUCCUACAUGAGACGAUUGGCCAGGGCAGGGAGGGUCAUGAAACUGGAGCCUCUGUGGACAGCUUCUUCUCAGUUUUGCUAACAUUUUUUUGGGAAGCCAUCUUCACCUCUUCUUUUUCCCCCACCAGAGGAAGUGGUGAGCUGGCACUAGUAUUUGGAUCCACUGUAGGAGUUCCUGCUGUGGUGCGACGGGAUUGGUGGUAUCUCUGCAGCACCAGGAUGCAGGUUUGAUCCCCAGCCUGGCAGUAGUGAGUUAAAGGAUCCAACAUUGCUACAACUGUGGCCUUCCCUGGCCCAGGAACUUAAUAUGCUGUGGGUCAGCUGAAAAAAGAACAAAACUCCACUGUAAAAUGUCUCCUUCUCCUCUUGUAUCUCUGUGACUUCGGAAUAUCUGGCACACAUGCACUGUUCCAAUGUUGGACAUAGAUUUUUAAAUUUCAUUUUAUAAUUAGAAUAAGAAAUACCGGGAGUUCCCAUUGUGGCUCAGUGGAAACAAAUCCGACUAGGAACCAUGAGGUUGCAGGUUCGAUCCCUGCUUCACUCAGUGGGUUAAGGAUCCGGCGUUGCUGUGAGCUGUGGUGUAGGUUGCAGAUAUGGCUUGAAUCCCAGGUUGCUGUGGCUGUGGUAUAGGCCAGCAGCUGCAGCUCCAAUUGGACCUCUAGCCUGGGGACCUCCAAGUGCUGCAGGUGCUGCCCUAAAAAGCAACAACAACGAAAAAGAAAGAAUAAAAGAAAUACCUAUUAUCCAUGAAUAUUAGUAUAAAAAAUUCAGUGAUACAUUACAUCAGUUGGGAUUUGGUUCAAUUACAGAUAGUAGCGAACUCAAAAUAAUGGUGACUCAAAUGCAAAAUAUUUACUUACUUACUUUUUUUACUUUAAUUUUUAUUGGCCGUGCCCGCAGCAUGUGAACAUUCCCAUGCCAGGGAUUGAACCCGUGCCCCUGGAGUGACUCAAGGCCCUUCAGUGAGAAUGCUAGAUCCUUAACCCACUGUACCUCAUAGGAACGCCUACUUAUUUUAAAUAUUAAAAAGGAAAGAUGUGGAGGCAAGCACUAAGAUGGUAUGAAGAUAGGAUGAGAAACUUAAACAUGCAUCAGUUAGGAACCCCUGACUCCAAGGGGUUGAAAAUUCAAUUCAAACUGGCUUGACCUUAAAAGAAAACGCACAGCCUACUUAACCCAGAGGCCCAGACUCCAAGUGGCCUCAGAGAGGACCUGAUCCAGGGGUGCAUGUGAUGGCAAGCAGCCUCAAUUUCUCUGCACUCCUUGGCUCUGCUGUUUCCUGAGUUGGCUUCAUUCUGAGGCUGCAUAUGGUGACCCCUGAUGGCCCCAGGCUCUGAGCCUCUUGAGUCUGGCCAGAGCUGAGAGCUGCUGUUGGACAAGACUCAGAUAUAUUAUGAUGAUUGGAUCAAUUUAGAUCCUAUGCCCAGUCAUGGGCAGCUACUGUGGCUGAGGUGUUUGGUGCAACGGUGGGCCGGGCCCAGCUCGUAAGCUUGGUGUCUUCCUAGAGUUCAGAGCCUCGCUGGAAAUGAAUGGGAUGACGAAGGAGGAUGGACCCCCCCCCGCCGCCCCCCUGCAAAGAAGCUGGAGGGCUGUGAUUGGAAGGAAGGGGUGGGAAGGCUGGGUGACUGAACACCCCAUAGUCUUAUUACAAAUAGAUCUGGCACGUUUGGGGGGGACAUUGACUGAUGAAAAAUGAUGAGGUUCAAAGAGGGCAGAAAACCUGUACGGCAUUCACGGCUGAGGAGCAGCAAGUUGUGACUGGGGCCCUGUUUUCUUUGACGGCCAAGCUGAUGGCCUUUGUCUGUCACUGCUCCCUCCCACCUUCCACAGUGGGACCCCGUUCAGCCCUGUGGCUGCGUGGUUGGGUCUGACCUGCCUGCAUUCAGCUGUGUUAUUUUCCAGGGUGGCCAUGGUCAGCCAGCUUCGGGUGUAAUGUAGACAUUAUUUUGGAAUGAAUAAAUGAUGACUGUUCUCAGUGUCAGCUGGAAACUCUCGUGCUGGGUGUGGGGUUGAUAAUCACAAGUCUGCUUGAACUUAAAAUCUGCUUGAACUGAUUUUACUGUUCUGCCUCUAAAGUCACAAGGGAGGCAGAACAGUAAAAUCUGUCUCCUUUCUCAAGAACGGUGGACUAGUAUGGACAGUAACUUUUCCGGUCACUCUAUUGUGUCAUUAGCGACACUCAUUGAUUUGCGUGCUACCCUAAGGGCGAUGGGGAGCCGUUGGGAUUGCGGAUGGACAGAGCUCCGCUUUGUGUUUUACUGGAAAGGUGGGCCAGACCAGAGGAGGACCUAGUGAUGACGCCCACGGACGGGGUGCCUCUAUGGCAGGCACUCCCCGAGACCAAGAGCCAAGGGGGGCCCCCU